AAAGGAAUAGACGGGGGCCCGCACAAGCAGUGGAGUAUGUGGUUUAAUUCGAAGCAACGCGAAGAACCUUACCAGGUCUUGACAUCCAACUAACGAAGCAGAGAUGCAUCAGGUGCCCUUCGGGGAAAGUUGAGACAGGUGGUGCAUGGUUGUCGUCAGCUCGUGUCGUGAGAUGUUGGGUUAAGUCCCGCAACGAGCGCAACCCUUGUCAUUAGUUGCUACGCAAGAGCACUCUAAUGAGACUGCCGUUGACAAAACGGAGGAAGGUGGGGACGACGUCAAAUCAUCAUGCCCCUUAUGACCUGGGCUACACACGUACUACAAUGGCCGUUAACAGAGGGAAGCAAUCCCGCGAGGAGGAGCAAACCCCUAAAAACGGUCUCAGUUCAGAUUGCAGGCUGCAACCCGCCUGCAUGAAGUAGGAAUUGCUAGUAAUCGCGGAUCAGCAUGCCGCGGUGAAUACGUUCCCGGGCCUUGUACACACCGCCCGU
rnacentral:rRNA from 1 species